rnacentral:rRNA from 1 species
GAUGAACGCUGGCGGCGUGCCUAAUACAUGCAAGUCGAGCGAACAGACGAGGAGCUUGCACCUCUGACGUUAGCGGCGGACGGGUGAGUAACACGUGGAUAACCUACCUAUAAGACUGGGAUAACUUCGGGAAACCGGAGCUAAUACCGGAUAAUAUAUUGAACCGCAUGGUUCAAUAGUGAAAGACGGUUUUGCUGUCACUUAUAGAUGGAUCCGCGCCGCAUUAGCUAGUUGGUAAGGUAACGGCUUACCAAGGCAACGAUGCGUAGCCGACCUGAGAGGGUGAUCGGCCACACUGAAACUGAAACACGGUCCAGACUCCUACGGAAGGCAGCAGUAGGGAAUCUUCCGAAAUGGGCGAAAGCCUGACGGAGCAACGCAGCGUGGGUGAUGAAGGUCUUCGGAUCGUAAAACUCUGUUAUUAGGGAAAAACAAAUGUGUAAGUAACUAUGCACGUCUUAACGGUACCUAAUCAGAAGGCCACGGCUAACUACGG